rnacentral:ncRNA from 2 species
AGCUUUAACUGAAUAGUCACUCGUAUAAUUUUGAGGAUAUGGCUCAAAAGUCUCUACCGGGCAACCGUAAAUUGCCCGACUACGAGUGGAACGCAUUACCAG